rnacentral:siRNA from 1 species
AUUAUCGCUAUCGUCAACGUCACC